rnacentral:rRNA from 1 species
GAUGAACGCUGGCGGCGUGCCUAAUACAUGCAAGUCGAGCGAACGGACGAGAAGCUUGCUUCUCUGAUGUUAGCGGCGGACGGGUGAGUAACACUUGGAUAACCUACCUAUAAGACUGGGAUAACUUCGGGAAACCGGAGCUAAUACCGGAUAAUAUUUUGAACCGCAUGGUUCAAAAGUGAAAGACGGUCUUGCUGUCACUUAUAGAUGGAUCCGCGCUGCAUUAGCUAGUUGGUAAGGUAACGGCUUACCAAGGCAACGAUGUAUAGCCGACCUGAGAGGGUGAUCGGCCACACUGGAACUGAGACACGGUCCAGACUCCUACGGGAGGCAGCAGUAGGGAAUCUUCCGCAAUGGGCGAAAGCCUGACGGAGCAACGCCGCGUGAGUGAUGAAGGUCUUCGGACCGUAAAACUCUGUUAUUAGGGAAGAACAUAUGUGCAAGUAACUGUGCACAUCUUGACGGUACCUAAUCAGAAAGCCACGGCUAACUACGUG